UUACUGGAAGGGCAUGUCCAAAAGGGCUUUAUGGUAUAUUCUGCGAGAAGAGCAGUAUUAUCUUAGAGGUAGAGGGCAUGGCCAGCAGCUCUCUAUGAAUGAAAGACAUGAGACAACAGAGAUGCAAAAGGAAACACGAGAGCAUACUCCACAAGCAAACAUAUUUCCAUCAUCACACAACUGUAGAUUCUACUUCUCCAUCAGAUGUUUCAGCAAACUGAUAGAUUUGUUUUAAAUUUUAUGAAUAUUGUUAAGUAUAUGGAUUUGUUCUAAACUUUCGAUUUUGUAAAUAUUGUGAAGUAUUUGUGUGUAUGAAUAUGAAUUAUAAUGAUUAUGAAUGACUUUUAAUUUA